rnacentral:rRNA from 1 species
AACGAACGCUGGCGGCAUGCCUAACACAUGCAAGUCGAACGAGACCUUCGGGUCUAGUGGCGUACGGGUGCGUAACGCGUGGGAACCUGCCCUUAGGUUCGGAAUAACUCCCCGAAAGGGGUGCUAAUACCGGAUAAUGUCUUCGGACCAAAGAUUUAUCGCCUUUGGAUGGGCCCGCGUUGGAUUAGCUAGUUGGUAGGGUAAAAGCCUACCAAGGCGACGAUCCAUAGCUGGUCUGAGAGGAUGAUCAGCCACACUGGGACUGAGACACGGCCCAGACUCCUACGGGAGGCAGCAGUGGGGAAUAUUGGACAAUGGGCGAGAGCCUGAUCCAGCAAUGCCGCGUGAGUGAUGAAGGCCUUAGGGUUGUAAAGCUCUUUUACCCGGGAUGAUAAUGACAGUACCGGGAGAAUAAGCUCCGGCUAACUCCGUG